rnacentral:rRNA from 1 species
AGAACGAACGCUGGCGGCAUGCCUAAUACAUGCAAGUCGAACGAACUCUUCGGAGUUAGUGGCGCACGGGUGCGUAACGCGUGGGAAUCUGCCCUUGGGUUCGGAAUAACAGUUGGAAACGACUGCUAAUACCGGAUGAUGACGAAAGUCCAAAGAUUUAUCGCCCAGGGAUGAGCCCGCGUAGGAUUAGCUAGUUGGUGAGGUAAAGGCUCACCAAGGCGACGAUCCUUGGCUGGUCUGAGAGGAUGAUCAGCCACACUGGGACUGAGACACGGCCCAGACUCCUACGGGAGGCAGCAGUAGGGAAUAUUGACAAUGGGCGAAAGCCUGAUCCAGCAAUGCCGCGUGA